GCCCUGCUAUGCCUUUAGUCCCAGCUACUCAGGAGGCUGAGGCUGGAGGAUUGCUUGAGCCCAGGAGUUCUGGGUUACAGUGUGCUGUGCUGAUCGGAUGUCUGCACUAAGUGCAGCAUCAAUAUGGUGACCUCCUGGGAACAGGAGACUCCCAGGUUGCCUAAGGAGGGGUGAUCUGGCCCAGGGCAUGAACAGAGCAGGUCAAAACUCCCCUGCUGAUCAGUAGUGGGAUCAUACCUUUGAAUAGCCAUUGCAGUUCAGCCUGGGCAACACAGUGAGACCCUGCCUCGA
ensembl:misc_RNA Metazoa_SRP Metazoan signal recognition particle RNA